rnacentral:lncRNA from 1 species
ACCAAAUGUACGCUGGAACCUUGCACAACAGAUAUUUAGAUCUAAAUUCUAAUAAAAUUUUGCACUACAUCAAAAUAGAUUUAACCAAAAAUUUAGUCAUUAUGCGUUCAUAUUUGCAUCUAAUUAAUUUUCUAUAUGAUAUUAGAUUUGAAAUUGAUAUUUUAUAAUUAGCAUAAGAUAUAUUUUAGAUCUGAUAUGAUGUAUAUGAUGCAUCAAAUCUAAUUAGAUUAGAUGAAGAACAUGAUUAAUAAGAUUAAGGAUAUGUUCAUGACAUAAACUGUUUUAUUAAA